GACCUGUGUUUGAUCUACAUGAGCAUUUAGAUUAAACUUAGAACUUGACAAGUUUCCUGAAUAUUUCAGAGAAUGAAGAGAAGAAAUCUGUGCAUGUAAAAAUGAUUUACAUGGGAGCGUGCUAGUUAAUUUUUGUCAACUUUGUACAAGCUCGAGUUACCUGGGAAGAGACAGUCUCAACUGAAGAACUGCUCCUAGUAGAUUGACCUGUUGCCCAAGUCUGUGGGGCACUGGAAACCUACACAGAUCUACCUCUCAUGGACCAAAGAGCCUCCAUCCAGAAAAGUACAUCUGUCCAAAGUUCCCACUUGCUACCUAUUCCAAAGGUCCAGGCACUUACUACACCCAGGACAGCUCCAGAGAAGCAGCCUUCAGAUGCUCCAAUCUCCUCUCAGACACAGACACUUUUUCCUGGACCUGUUCUUCUGACCUAUCCUCAGAUGUCUCCACAGGCCCUGGAGAGCAAGGAAACAGCCAACUCUUCAAAGACUGGACAAACACCCCCAUACCCAUUGCUCUAGUUUCCCCAGAGACACCUCUGCCCAAUGUCAGCAUGAAGCAGCCAGAUAUCACCAAAAACAUUAUUCCUGCUUCACCAUCACCUCUUUCUAAUUUUUUUCCUUUUUUAACUAAACCAAACUAGGGAAAUGUUGGUAUUCUGUCUAAAUCCCACCCCCUCAUCCCAGAGUUCCUGGCAGCAGCCAGGCAUGCUCCUCCCCACAGUUACCUGGCAAUAACCACAUAGACUUGGCCCAUUAUAAAAGGGGCUGCUUGGCCUGUCCUCUCCCUCUUGUUCUCUUAUGCUUUUGUCUCUCUCUUACAUCUUGUCCCCUUGCUCCCCUUCCCUCCCUCCCCUGCCCCCUCUCCACAUAGCCAUGGCCUGCCUUUACUUAUCUGCUCUUGCCUUCUCUCUGCCUUUCUCUGCCUCUACUACUCUCUUAACUCCCCUCCCUGUACCCUAAAUAAACUCUAUUCUGUGCUGUACAGGUAUAUGUCUUGUCUCUCGGGGGGAAGGCAUGCCUUGGCAUGGGUCUGUUGAAGCACCCCUUUCCCCCAAACCCCACCAUAACAUAUUCUUAUAGUUCUUUUUCUUUUUAU